UCGCGGAACCCCUGAAAACGGCAGAUAUGAUCACAAAGGGGAAUUCAUCGCGCCAUUUCCAUCAGACUCCACUGAAAAGCGGAACUUUGGGCCUCGUCGAAAUAGUUUAUUUUCUCGUUCGGAGCCUUUCCUGCAUCACAAUGCUACUUAGUCAGGCAACACCAGCGUGUUCCCGCCACGCAUUAGCACGGGAGUCACGCAUGAAUGUUAUCGGACCAAACGACCGUAAACUGCAAUUCUAAAGAAGCGGCCGGGAUUAAAAUUACAUCCCUCCGGCGAGAAGCGGAUUUAAAGAGACGGCUCACAAUCAAUCCGCACACGCCAAUAUAAUUAUGAGAAGAAUGGAUGGCUUUUGAAAAUGUAGCACGGUAAACAUGCUUGCCGGUGUUUUAUAUAGAAAUAUUUUCCUCAGCGAAAAGCAAUCGGAGACAGGAUGGGAAGUCUACACUUUUCCUUGAAGAAAGCCAUUAUACAGUGGGAAUGGGUGAAAUAAAUCUGAUAUUAAACUCGGACAGUGAUAUGACCUUAAACCACUGUUAGAGGCACCAUGAAAUACUGGCUUGCAGUGCAACCAGUAUGAGUACACACACCAUAACAGCAAUUCCCCAGGGAACACCGAUGAAGAUAUACACAGAAAAUUCCAGAAGUCAACCGUAAGAUAUAGCACAAGCUUGAAAGUAAGCCAGAGCACCACAGAUGAAGUCACAGCAGACAUUAUGGGGACCGGUUAGUACUGUUUUAGUGACAGAGCGGGAGUAUAGUUGCCAGAUGUACAGGUCUUCCCUUGAGACAAUAGGAGCGGUUAGUAAUGGUUUAGUGACAUAGCGGGAGUAUAGUUGCCAGAUGUACAGGUCUUCCCUUGAGAUAAUAGGACCGGUUAGUACUGGUUUAGUGACAGAGCGGGAGUAUAGUUGCCAGAUGUACAGGUCUUCCCUUGAGAUAAUAGGACCGGUUAGUACUGGUUUAGUGACAGAGCGGGAGUAUAGGUGCCUGAUGUACAGGUCUUCCCUUGAGAUAAUAGGACCGGUUAGUACUGGUUUAGUGCCAGAGCGGGAGUAUAGGUGCCUGAUGUACAGGUCUUCCCUUGAGACAAUAGAACAGGUUAGUACUGGUUUAGUGACAGAGCGGGAGUAUAGUUGCCUGAUGUACAGGUCUUCCCUUGAGACAAUAGGAGCGGUUAGUACUGGUUUAGUCACAGAGCGGGAGUAUAGCUGCCUGAUGUAUAGGUCUUCCUUUGAGACAAUAGAACAGGUUAGUACUGGUUUAGUGACAGAGCGGGAGUAUAGUUGCCUGAUGUACAGGUCUUCCCUUGAGACAAUAGAACAGGUUAGUACUGGUUUAGUGACAGAGCGGGAGUAUAGUUGCCUGAUGUACAGGUCUUCCCUUGAGACAAUAGGAGCGGUUAGUACUGGUUUAGUCACAGAGCGGGAGUAUAGCUGCCUGAUGUAUAGGUCUUCCUUUGAGACAAUAGAACAGGAUAGUACUGGUUUAGUGACAGAGCGGGAGUAUAGUUGCCUGAUGUACAGGUCUUCCCUUGAGACAAUAGGAGCGGUUAGUAUUGGUUUAGUGACAUAGCGGGAGUAUAGUUGCCUGAUGUACAGGUCUUCCCUUGAGACAAUAGAACAGGUUAGUACUGGUUUAGUGACAGAGCGGGAGUAUAGUUGCCUGAUGUACAGGUCUUCCCUUGAGACAAUAGAACAGGUUAGUACUGGUUUAGUGACAGAGCGGGAGUAUAGUUGCCUGAUGUACAGGUCUUCCCUUGAGACAAUAGGAGCGGUUAGUACUGGUUUAGUCACAGAGCGGGAGUAUAGCUGCCUGAUGUAUAGGUCUUCCUUUGAGACAAUAGAACAGGUUAGUACUGGUUUAGUGACAGAGCGGGAGUAUAGUUGCCUGAUGUACAGGUCUUCCCUUGAGACAAUAGAACAGGUUAGUACUGGUUUAGUGACAGAGCGGGAGUAUAGUUGCUUGAUGUACAGGUCUUCCCUUGAGACAAUAGGAGCGGUUAGUAUUGGUUUAGUGACAUAGCGGGAGUAUAGUUGCCUGAUGUACAGGUCUUCCCUUGAGACAAUAGAACAGGUUAGUACUGGUUUAGUGACAGAGCGGGAGUAUAGUUGCUUGAUGUACAGGUCUUCCCUUGAGACAAUAGGAGCGGUUAGUAUUGGUUUAGUGAUAGAGCGGGAGUAUAGUUGCCUGAUGUACAGGUCUUCCCUUGAGACAAUAGAACAGGUUAGUACUGGUUUAGUAACAUAGCGGGAAUAUAGUUGCCUGAUGUACAGGUCUUCCCUUGAGACAAUAGGACCGGUUAGUACUGGUUUAGUGACACAGCGAGAGUAUAGUUGCCUGAUGUACAGGUCUUCCUUUGAGACAAUAGAACAGGUUAGUACUGGUA